GAACGCUAGCUACAGGCUUAACACAUGCAAGUCGAGGGGCAGCAUGAAGUUGCUGCAACUUGAUGGCGACCGGCGCACGGGUGAGUAACGCGUAUCCAACCUGGCCCGCAGUAGGGAACAGCCCGGCGAAAGUCGGAUUAAUGCCCUAUGUCUUCCUUUGCAGGCAUCCAAUGAGGAAGAAAGAUUUAUCGCUGCGGGAUGGGGAUGCGUCUGAUUAGCUUGUCGGCGGGGUAACGGCCCACCGAGGCGACGAUCAGUAGGGGUUCUGAGAGGAAGGUCCCCCACACUGGUACUGAGACACGGACCAGACUCCUACGGGAGGCAGCAGUGAGGAAUAUUGGUCAAUGGGCGAGAGCCUGAACCAGCCAAGUAGCGUGCAGGGAACCGACUGCCCUAUGGGUUGUAAACUGCUUUUAUGCGGGGAUAAACUUCAGCACGUGUGCUGUUUUGCAGGUACCGCAUGAAUAAGGACCGGCUAAUUCCGUGCCAGCCGCCGC
rnacentral:rRNA from 1 species